CGUUUUAUAUUUCCAAUAAAGUUUGAAUAUAACAAUGUUUUUGUCGAAAGUCUUACGAUAAACAUCCCAAAAAUAACUACUAUAAUUCCAAAUAUAUGAUGUAAUUAUAAAACAUAUUGUACAAUGCAUAUCACUCAUAUAGAGUUUGUUAUUUUUAUAACGAUGAGUGUAUUUGUGUCUGUGUCUUUAAAUGUAUUAGAAGCCGAACAGACUUCAUUCUUCGGUUUCAUACAUGAGAUUAGCAUCAGUACUACUACUAUAGAGUUGAUACAGCAACUUGAAGAGCAAGUUUAUUUGCUCGCAAAAGGCGAUCGCCGAGUGCGCAGGUAUUUUGAAACUUAUGAUACACCCUUCAUCGGUCAGGGAAGAAGGAUGAAUUAUGAUUCUAAUUACUAUAAAUAGAAUUUUAUAUAGCAAAAUUUACAUUAAAGUAUUUGUUAAUUUCAAUAA